rnacentral:lncRNA from 1 species
CAACUUACAAAAUACAAGAAUAUAGGGUUAUUGCAUGAAUAUUGGGGAAUAUUGUCCCGAGUAGAAUUCUAUAUUGCACGAGCUUGCGAGUGCAAUAUAUGUUCUACGAGGGACAAUAUUCAUGCAAUAACCCUUUUAUUGUAUAGCAAUAUAAUAUUUGACAGUAAAAAUUGGUUUAAACUAAGAUUUAAACGUUGAUGACGUCAUGAAU